GAUAUAUAAGAUGUGAGUUGACCAGGUCGGAACAGUUCAGCUGACCAGUCUCCUGUUACUUCUAUCUUCAGUCCCAGAGGACCACGAUACUGUCAACAUGUUCUCAUCUACCAAACUUUUUGGCCUCCUUCUCCUGACCAUGUGUGUCCUGACGGUGACUGCGUCCCACAGCAGCAGUUGCAGUGAGUCCGUCAUUCCCGUCCCCUGGCCCAUUCCUGUCAGCAGCAGCAGCGGCAACAGCGGGAGUCAGGGGGGUGCGGCUACCGCCGCGCUGUUAGCUGCCCUCCUCGCCCCCGCCCCGGCGGCCGCUGCAGCCGGCAAAUAGUCGCCUCAAGUGUCUCUCACGGCAGGUGGCAUUUGUGUGCAGUAUAACAGUUUACUCCUUUUAGACCUGAACCAUGAUGAGGCUUUGGUGACUAUGGUGACAGCUAAGAACUUGUUGCUCUAUUUAUAUUUGAUUUUUACAAAAAAAUUGAGAAGCAUAUGGAGACACGAGGCUUGGGAAAAUGUGCCACUCACAGACAUCAGUGAUAAAAUCAGGCAAUUAAAGUGUUAUUUUCAUUCCAA